rnacentral:lncRNA from 1 species
CAUGCUACAUAUCGCUUGACACAUAUCGAAAAUAAUUAAGUUGAAACAACCACAAAUACAAUGGUUAUAUAUCUCAUUAAUAUUAAUGAAGAAGUUCACAAAAUAAAGAUUGAGCUAUGCUUAAAUCAUCAAAAACUCGCAUAAUAAUAUUACCAAAAAGAAGGUAAAGUAGGUAAUUAACUAGAGGAGGGAAGUCAAAGAAGGAGAAAAAGAAAAGAGUAACUUCGUUGGCUUGAAUAUCAUUUUGGAUCCUUGUAUCUUGAUUCUCUCUUAAUAUGAAUUCUUUCUAGUUGUCUCCCCUUGGUGCAUUGCACCUGAAGCAUUCCAUCCUGCUAGCGAAAUUGUGUUCAUUGCAUCCUGACCUGUUUAAUCGCAAUUUAAAUUUUCAAUAUGACUAUUCUUUAUGCUCUUUGAAAAGAUUCAAC